rnacentral:rRNA from 1 species
GAUGAACGCUGGCGGCGUGCCUAAUACAUGCAAGUCGAGCGAACAGACGAGGAGCUUGCUCCUCUGACGUUAGCGGCGGACGGGUGAGUAACACGUGGAUAACCUACCUAUAAGACUGGGAUAACUUCGGGAAACCGGAGCUAAUACCGGAUAAUAUAUUGAACCGCAUGGUUCAAUAGUGAAAGACGGUUUUGCUGUCACUUAUAGAUGGAUCCGCGCCGCAUUAGCUAGUUGGUAAGGUAACGGCUUACCAAGGCAACGAUGCGUAGCCGACCUGAGAGGGUGAUCGGCCACUCUGGAACUGGGACACGGUCCAGACUCCUACGGGAGGCAGCGGUAGGGAAUCUUCCGCAAGGGGCGAAAGCCUGACGGAGCAACGCCGCGUGAGUGAUGAAGGUCUUCGGAGCGUAAAACUCUGUUAUUAGGGAAGAACAAAUGUGUAAGUAACUAUGCACGUCUUGACGGUACCGAAGCAGAAAGCCACGGCUAACUACGU